GGAAAAUAGGCAUGGUGCUUUCUGCUGCAGGAGGCUGCCUCACAAGUCCUUUCCCAGCCCAGAUAUGUAUUGAGUGUCAAGUUGGCCACUGACAAUUUACGCUUUUCUGCAGAAGAGCUUUGGGAUGUGCCUUGGCUGUUGAUUUUCAGUGGCAGAAGCUCAUGGCUUUCAGCUCUAACCUUCAGAAUUUGCUGCUAGUGGACAACAGCCUCAUCACAGUCAGCAAAUACGCAGGAGCUAGAGCUCUUGCAAGGCACUGGUGAGGAUCAGAGCCUUGGAGGUAACUUCAUUCUCCAGCACACUCUGAUGCUGCCUGAUCUGUGAACAUCUGUGAUUCUCCAGAUUGUCAGACUUUCAGAGAUGGAGUGUUGUCUGGGUAGUUCAUAGUCAUCCUGUGACUGACAGACACCACCAAGUCCACCUCUUCUGUCACCAGCCAGUUUACAUGUCCUAGCAAGUUGUCAUCAGAAGCAGCUACUAAAUCCUGCAACCAUCAUGAAUACCUACAUAGUACUGACCUCAUGUUUCUGAGGAUUCCACAAGCUGUAAGAAGAAACCCUUGUGAAUGCAGACUCCCAUCCCCUCUGGAAAGUCUGGAAGAAUUUCAUACAGAGUUCAAACGCCAGCAAUUUCCAGUACCAUCUUUCCUCAUCUCCUCGUUACGAGCAGGGUUUCAUUACCUGUGGAACAGCCAGUGCCUGCUCGCCAGCAUCAGCAUUGUCCCCAGAGCCCUCCUGUGAUGGCUGUCGCUCUUUCAUGGUGGGCAGGGACAUGUGGCUCUGCAUCGUUACCAGCAAACGGAGACGCUGCAGGUUCAUUAUCAGAGAAGAGUGUCACGUUUUUUUUUUUUUUUCCUUUUUUUUUUUUUUUCAAAUGGCAUUUCCUCUCAAGCUCGGCAUGGCAGCAACUGUCUUGUGAAUCCUGAGUACCUGCAACCCGACAGUGUUGGCCAAUGUGUUUCAGCAGGGAAUUAAAUUAUGAUUUUUUUUUUUUUUUUUUUUUGGAGAGAGGCUGCUGAAUUCUUUUGAAGCAAAAAUAUCAUUUCCUGGAUGGAGCACACUACGUUGAGUCCUAAAGGGCUUUGUGAAGUUGCUUGGAUAAAAGCUUCUGAUGGUGUUGGCUUGCCAAUGGAUUAAUCAUAAUGUGGAGAAGCUAAAACCCAUCCCAAACUAUGAGAUGCUGAGAGAUUCUCGUAUUUAGCCAGCCUACAGACUGAUGCUUCUGACUUGUACAAAAGCACACUGUUAGACUGCAGGAGCGGUCACUGAUGAAAAAUAACAUUCCCACCAUGCAGUUUUGACAGCUACAUCUCACUGUCGUGCUCUUUUCAACCCGGUGAGGACAGCUGAGUGCCACAAACCUGCUCUGGAGCAGCGUUUGCCGUGGGUAGGGCGAGCACGCAGGUAGCAUCAGCCAGGUUCAUGCACGCUGAGAGCUGUGGGUGCUGUGGUAGCGGCAGGCAUGUGGGGGAAGCUCUGCUGGUUGGUGAAUUUCAUUAAAAAUCUGAGAUGUCUAUGCACACAGCCUUAUUCACAGUUUUUUCUGUAUUGUGAUUUUAGGAUAUAACAAGGUGUUAACAAGAAAAACAUGUUUUCAUUAAAGCUGUAUACAAAAUGUAUCUUUGCCCUGAGCCCUUCUGUGUGUUUAUUUUUCUGAAACAGUCUGUUCCUUAAAGAAACAAACAAAAACUGAAGCAGGGGAAGAAACUUUUUCCUUCCCACGGGAGGGCCCAUUUCCACCACCCCACUUUGAUUCCCAUCGGUGGCAGGUCAUGGGCUGCCAGGUGGUCCAGGCCGGCCCAGGUUAGCACCGUGCCUCACCUCACCUGUGGGGUUCAUUUUGCUAAGCUGUUGUAAACAUUUUGCUCUGCUUUCCU
rnacentral:lncRNA from 1 species